GCGCGAAAACUUUACAAUGCUGGCAACAGCGAUAAGGGAACCUCGAGUGCCAAGUUACAAAUCUGGCUGUCGAGAUGCCUAAAAAGCAUUUCAUAGCAAGGGCCGGGCAAGACCGGUGCCAGCCGCCGCGGUAACACCGGCGGCUCGAGUGGUAACCGUUAUUAUUGGGUCUAAAGGGUCUGUAGCCGGCCGGAUAAGUCUCUUGAGAAAUCUGGCAGCUUAACUGUCAGGCUUUCAGGAGAUACUGUCUGGCUCGAGGCCGGGAGAGGUGAGAGGUACUUCAGGGGUAGGGGUGAGAUCUUGUAAUCCUUGAAGGACCACCAGUGGCGAAGGCGUCUCACCAGAACGGACCUGACGGCAAGGGACGAAAGCGUGGGGAGCAAACA
rnacentral:rRNA from 1 species